CACAUUCAGGUUGAGUAGGGAGGCAGGUUCACCUGCUGAGCUGAUUCCAGGGAUCGGGCAAGAAGUCAAUGGGCAGCAGGUGAGGUUGCCGCUGUGAUCUCCUUCCCGGUCGACUCUCCUCAGAAGAGAACAGGGCUGCUCCCCGUCCUUCAGCCCAGCUCUCCUGUUUCCUUUACACCUCAGUGGGACAGGAAAGACAGAGCCUGCCAGAACCAAGACUCAUCCCAGCCUGGGCCACAACCCCUGCUAAGGUGCCUAGGAGGCUGCACUCUCAGGAUGGAGACUUGAACUGGGGACCCCAUCACCAGGACCCCUGGCGACUAGGAGGAAUACUGAUCAAAUCGACAACAAGAAACCACAUUCCAUCUGACAGAAUGGCCAUCCUGACUUCUGCAAACCCUAAAUUGUGGAGAGCGCCGGGAGAUGAUUCAAGCCUCCUGCAAGUUCCAUGGGAAUGGAAACUGGCAACAACCCCUGAAAGAAUAGCCUCUACUGGCCAGAACAAAAAAAUUAAAGAGACCAAAGCCUAGGAUUUUAAUAC
ensembl:lncRNA